AUAACCUUGACUUGUAUUCCUCCUGAGUUGCCUGCCCCUUCUUCCAAAGAUCUUAAACUCUCCUUUUUUUCCUGAGUUCCAGCCAAAGCUCUCUGUUCAGUCAGGCCAGUCUUCUUCCCCUCUAGGUUGUCCUUUGGCACAUGGGGACAGCCUGCUCCUGUGCCUGUAAGAUUUCCGUCUUGAAGAAUGUCCAGCCUUCCUGGACUCCUUUGCCCUUCAGGACUGCCUCCCAAGGGACUCUGUUGACCAGGUCCCUAAACAGGCCAAAGUCUGACCUCCGGAAGUCCAA